GAUGAAGAACGCAGCGAAAUGCGAUAAGUAAUGUGAAUUGCAGAAUUCAGUGAAUCAUCGAAUCUUUGAACGCACAUUGCGCCCGCCAGUAUUCUGGCGGGCAUGCCUGUUCGAGCGUCAUUUCAACCCUCAAGCACUGCUUGGUGUUGGGGACCGGCUUGCCUUCAGCGCCUGCCGCCCCCGAAAUACAGUGGCGGUCUCGCCGCAGCCUCCUCUGCGUAGUAGUUUACAACCUCGCAUACGGAGCGCGGCGCGGCCACGCCGUAAAACCCCCUACUUUCAAAGGUUGACCUCGAAUCAGGUAGGAAUACCCGCUGAACUUAAGCAUAUCAAUAAGCGGAGGA
rnacentral:misc_RNA from 1 species